rnacentral:tRNA from 1 species
GAGAAAGUAACUCAGUUGGUAGAGUGUUGGUUUGUCAUAUCAGUGGUCGCGGGUUCAAAUCCCGUCUUUCUC